rnacentral:snRNA from 1 species
GUGCUCACUUCAGCAGCAUAUAUGCUACAACUGAAAUGAUAUAGAGAAGAUUAACAUACUCCCUGUGCAAGGAUGACAUGCAAAUUCAUGAAGCACUCUGUAUUAAA